rnacentral:lncRNA from 1 species
CGACUCCGGAGAUGAAUCAAGUGAAGAAGAAAACGACGAAGUUGCAAACCUUUGUCUCAUGGUACAAGAAGACAACCAAAAUGAGGUACAUCAAAUUUCAUCUGAAAACUUUUCACUUGAUGAAAUGCGUAAUGCCUUUGAUGAGUUAUAUACUGAAUUUUUAAAGGCUUCAAAAACUGUCACUAGCUUAAGAGAAAACGCUUCUCUAAAAGAAACGGAUUUUCAAAA